rnacentral:lncRNA from 1 species
GAGGCUGCAGUGAGCCGAGAUUGCAUCACUGCACUGCAGCCUGGGUGACAAAGUGAGAUCCUGUCUCAAAGGAAAAAAAUACAGGAUGCCCAAAUAUUACAGGGGGCACACUUACACUAAUAAAAUUAUUCAUUGUUUAGCUGAAAUUCAAAUUUAGCUGGGCAGCCUGAAUUUUAUCUGGAAAACGUACUCUAAAUCUAAACACCAGUUCACAGGAAAUACAUAGAGACACAGCCAGAAAAGUCUAAAAUGUAGAAAACUCCGCAGGACAAAUGUUCUUCAAAAAAUAAAUUGCAAGGAAACAAUAGUUUAUUUGCUCACUGAAAGAAAAAAAAAUCCUAUUUGUUCUUUGACAAAUAAAUUGCAGGAAUGAAAGAGGGAGAAAAAUCUAUAGAUUCUUUAGAUUAAAAGAGACUUGGGCCAGGCACAGAGGCUCACCCCUAUAAUCCCAGCACGUUGGGAGGCCAAGGUGAGGUGGGCAGAUCACUUGAGGUCAGGAAUUCCAGACCAGCCUGGCCAAUAUGGCGAAACCCUGUCUCUACUUACAAAAAUUAGCCUGGUGUGGUAGCAUGCACCUGUAGUGUCAGCUACUCAGGAGGCUAAGGCAUGAGAACUGCUUGAACCCGGGAGGCAGAGGUUGCAGUGAGCCAAGGUCACUCUACUGCACUCCAGCCUGGGCAACACCGUGAGAGGAGAGGAGAGGAAAAGAGAGGGGAGGGGAGGGUAGGAGAAGGGAGGAAAGAAAGGAAGAAAAGGAAGAAAGAAAGGAAAGAAAGGAAGGAAAGGAAAGAAAAGAAAGGAAGGAAGGAAGGGAAAAAAGAAAAGGAAGAAAAGAAAGAAAAAGAAAGAAAGAAGACUUGAGAGGUAUACCAAUAAAUUUAAUGUGUGGACUUUAUUUGGACUUAAUAAACAUUUAUGAUACAAUUAGAAAAUUUGAAGACCAAUAGAAUAUUUAGGAGUUAUUGUUAAAAAUUUUAAGUAUCAUGGUUGUGUUUUACAAAAGAAUUUCUGUCUCUUAAAGAUACACCCUGAAGUACUAUGAAUGAAAUGAUACAGUGCCUGAGAUUUGCUUCAAACCAAUCCUGUGGCAAGGUGGGAGGGGAAGAGAACACAGAUGAAACAAGGUUAGCUGGUGCUGGUGGGCACGGUGGCUCACACCUCUAAUUCCAGCUCUUUGGGAGGAUUGCUGGAGCCCAGGAUUUCAAGGCCAACCUGGGCAACAUAGUAAGACCCCAUCCCUACAAAAAAAUUUAAAAAUAAACCUGGCAUGCUGGCACGUGCCUGCAGUCUCAGCUGCGAGGCUAAUCAUGCCACUGCAACCCAGCCUGGACAACAGAGUGAGACUUUGUCUCAAAAAAAAGAUUAGCAGGUGUUGAUAAUUUCUGAAGCUGGGGGAGAAGUAUGUGAGUUCACUAUAUUAGCCUAUCUUUGCACAUAUGUUAAAAAUUUUUAAAGUUUUUAAAAGGGGGGUUAAGAAAAACUAAGAUUUAACUGUAUAACUUAAUAAAUUGAAUAUUAAGACACCAUCAUCUGUAAGUUUGCAUGCCUUCAUAAUUGAAAUAAAUGAAAAUUUAAAUUAGAAUUCACUGAAAAAAAUGCUAUUUUUCCAAUCUGUUUACAGACCGUUUGAAUCUACCCAGUGAUUCCUCUAGAAACCUGGGGGCAUGUGAGGACACAGCCCUGCAGAAAGUGAAGCGUGGCCAGAGCUGCCUGGAGCCCUGCCUGUGCCAGCUCGUCUCCUGCCUUGAGUCCUUUGCGGUGGGAAGCAGGAAACUGUCGUACCAACUUAUGCUUUGGUGUUUUGUUUUAUUUCUUUCUCCUAAAAUCAUGGAUUUUCUGGUUUUGUAAUGUCGGGUCUUUAUUUUGUAACUCAGCUUUAAGACAGAUUGUGGAUUUUUUUUUUUUGAGACGGAGUCUUGCUCUGUCACCCAGGCUGGAGUACAGUGGUGUGAUCUCGGCUCACUGCAAGCUCCGUCUCCCGGGUUCAAGUGAUUCUCCUGCCUCAGCCUCCCGAGUAGCUGGGAUUAUAGGCACCUGCCACCACGCUCGCCUAAUUUUUGUAUUUUUAGCAGAGACGGCAUUUCGCCAUGGUGGCCAGGCUGUUCUUGAACUCCUGACCUCAGGUGAUCCACCCGCCUUGGCCUCCCAAAGUGCUGGGAUUACAGGCGUGAGCCAUUGCACCCAGCCUAGUUUGUGGAUUUUUAAAUUUCAGAACCAGGAAGACAGCGCUUCCAGCAACCGGUUUGUGCUCCCCAACUCUGUCACACCCCCUUACUGACAUUUGCACGGGUGACCGCGGCCUACGGGUCGUACCAGGACGCCAACAUUCCCUUUCCUAGGACUUCUGGGGCCAGGUUCUGUAGAGCAGGUGGGUCUCUUUGGUUCUCUGAUUCUAGAUUUUGAGAGGGAGCAGCUAAGAAUGUCAUAGAUUCUGUAUAAACAUCUUCAUCAGAAAACGUUUGCUUUUACUCCGGAGAACUCAAAGGAGACUUUCAUAGUAGUGUGGCAGGGUCUGAGGCCCAGUCGGUGUCUGUGGACUUAUCCUAAGGGGGUGCACCAGAAUGGGGGUCUUAACUUUCUUCAUUCUGAUGAGCUUGGAUUUCAGUCUUUACUCAGAGCCCUGAUUCUUAGCAGGGGUCAGUCCCCUGGUAGGGAGGCUUAGAGUCCCGCUGAUGACUCUGCCCAGUCCACAUACAUCCUCUCUCCUGGACCCUGGAGCGCUGACCUUUGUUCCUGGUAAGGGUGACUGCAGUCAGGAGUCUUGCAGCUUAUGAAAAUGUGUCUUACCCUCAGGUGUACAGAGAUAGAAGAAAGACUGGCCAGUCCUGCCUCAGGAUUUCCCACGGCCAGCUUGUUGACACUGAUGGCUCACGUGAUACCUCCUUCUUUAGGUUACCUGGUGUAUUUCACAAGGCCCAUGACGAUGCAUCGGGCGGUGCCUCCCACAGAGCCUACUCCGAGGUGAGUCCGGGAGAUGCAGAAGCUGCUCUACGUUCCCAGGGCCAGAAGUGGCCAGAGACCUUAAUGUUAUUGACAUUGAUCCACAUUGCUGCUAGUGUCAGUAUGUCCAUCAUACGAAUAUAACACAGUUUAUUCAUUGUCUUAAUGAUAGAUAUUUGCAUCGUUUCCAGUUUUUGGCUGUCAUGGGCAAACCUGGACACCUGUCCAGCAAGUUGACUUCCAGGAGCCCCCAAGACCCAGGCACUUAGAGACGAAGCCAGAGUAGAUCUCCUUUCACAGGGCCCAGGAAACUUCCAGGCCCACCUGCAGGGCCCCGAGCUGACUGGCAAGCACUUAAACCUUGCUGGUGGGCGGCCCAAGGCCUCACUACACCUGUCAGCCCUUAGACCUCAGCAGCCGAUUGGUAUAGGAAAAGCAGAUGGAUGGACUG